rnacentral:sRNA from 2 species
AACCCAAUACAAAGACAUCUCGGCUAUGUAAGUUGGUGAGAAUCCAACGCGGUCCCGCCACUGUAAGAACAUCUUUGAUGUUUAAGUCAGAGCUUUAUUCGAGAAUGCUUAUACGCGCGCAUACUAUUUCAAGGUAAAAUAGUAUUGUUUA